CGCUUUCUGUUUCUAAAACAAAAUACCUAUGACUGGGAACUGUAUAAACACACAGGGUUUAGUUAGCUCAUAGUUUGAAAGGCUGAAGGCCCAAGACCAGGUGGUCUCAUGUACUCAACCACUGAGGGACCCAUGUUUGCCAGGCAGUUGCCACAUCACUGAGCUGCAUUCUCGGCCCUUGAAUGGUCUGAUUCUUAAAAGUUCUACCACAUCAACACUACCACACCAAGGACCGAGCCUUCCACACAAAGACCUUUCGGGAACAAACCGUAUUCCAACCAUGGCAGCGUGUGGUACCUAAGUGGGUGGGAGACAGGAAGAGCCGUAGCAGACAAAGCAGACACGGAGCCUGGAAAGGUUUGGCGCCCCUGUCAGAAAACAGAGACACGAAGGACACCGUGUGACACUGGAGCGGAGACCGGAGGAGCGACGCUGUGUGAGCUGAGAGCUGUGAAGGACCCCCACCAGCCAUCAGAAGCUGAAGAGUAGGGAAGGUUCUCUCGC